rnacentral:rRNA from 1 species
AUCUCCAAUCAAGCAAGAGGACCCGCUGAAUUUAAGCAUAUUAUUAAGCGGAGGAAAAGAAACUAACAAGGAUUCCCUCAGUAAGGGCGACUGAAGCGGGAAAAGCCCAUGUUGCCAAACCUUCGGGUGUUGUGCCAUGCGUGUCUUGUGGAACUCCAGGAGUAAGUCCCUUGGAACAGGGUGCCAGAGAGGGUGACAGUCCCGUCUGCCUCUUGGGUGUUCCACUUGUAGACCGUGUAUCGGAGUCGUGUUGCUUGGGAUUGCAGCACAAAGUUGGUGGUAAAUUCCAUCAAAGGCUAAAUACGGGUGGGAGACCGAUAGCGAACAAGUACUGUGAAGGAAAGAUGAAAAGAACUUUGAAAAGAGAGUUAAAGAGUGCCUGAAAUUGCUGAGAGGGAACCGAAGGUCAUCAGUGAUGGUCAUAUGCAUAUUGUUUGUAUUCUAUCUUGAGUAUGAGUUUGUGCAUGUGUUUUGCCAACUCAUUGUUGUUAUUGAUCGAAGGAAAGUUUAUCGCUUUGAUUGAUACCAGGAAUGAGAAAAUGAUGCUCUUUAUCCCGUCUUGAAACACGGACCAAGGAGUCUAACACAAAUGCGAGUAUUGAGGUGACAAACCUCAGUGCGUAAUGAAAGUGAUGAUUGGAUGCUUCGGCUGCACCAUCGACCGACCACUUCGCUAAGGCGUCGAGGUUUGAGUGGGAGCAUUUGUGUUGGGACCCGAAAGAUGGUGAACUAUGCCUG